AUAAAUACACGGCGUAAAAGUGUUUUAGGAAUUACCAAAAUAAGACUAAACUUCACCUAAGUCGUAAAAAACUCCAGAUGAAUUUAAAUUCACAAACGAAAGUAGUCUUAAUUCACCUGAGCACACGAAAGCUAGGACACAAACUGGGAUUAGAUACCCCACUAUGCCUAACCAUAAACAUAAAAAUUUUUCAACAAAAAUUUUGCCAGAGAACUACUAGCAACAGCUUAAAACUCAAAGGACUUGACGGUGCUUACACCCACCUAGAGGAGCCUGUUCUGUAAUCGAUAAACCCCGAUCUACCUCACCGUUUCUUGCUAAUUCAGUCUAUAUACCGCCAUCUUUAGCAAACCCAAUUAUGGUAUAAAAGUAAGCACAAGUACUAGCAUAAAAACGUUAGGUCAAGGUAUAGCUCAUGGAACGGAAAGUAAUGGGCUACAUUUUCUUUACAAGAAAAUAACUCACGGAAACCCUCAUGAAACUUCGGGUCUAAGGAGGAUUUAGUAGUAAAUUAAGAAUAGAGAGCUUAAUUG
rnacentral:rRNA from 1 species